CCUCCCUUCCUUCCUGCCUGUUGAGAACACCUGCUUGCUUGUGGCAUCUUUUCUGUAUGCAAUGGUUGCAGAAAGAUACUAUCUUCAUACCAGAGGAUAUGAUGGAAGGGAGAGGCCAGUCAGCUGCUUCCUUUAGCACAUGAGCGGGCAGGCAGAAUCAGAAAGCCAGGACAUCCUUAAGUUACUGGCUACCUGUUUUGAAUACCUCAGAAGGCACUAAUCGUCUCUGGAAUUUCAGCAGUGGAAAGGGGAACCAAUAAGAACUACUGUGGAUAUGCUUCAGUAAUCUAAGCUUGAACGAAUACGCAAGGAUGUCACACGGCCUCGUCCCUUCUUUACCAAAGAUCCAAAGCCUCAAAGGGACACCCACAGAGAUGACAGGGGACCAAGAACAUGCACUGGCAGGGAAAACAAACAAAAAUAUUGCUGGCAGAAAUAAAGCAAAUUAUGAAAUG